rnacentral:rRNA from 1 species
UACAUGCAAGUAGGACGCACAGUUUAUACCGUAGCUUGCUACACCAUAGACUGUGAGUUGCGAACGGGUGAGUAACGCGUAGGUAACCUACCUAUUAGAGGGGGAUAACUAUUGGAAACGAUAGCUAAUACCGCAUAACAGUAUGUAACACAUGUUAGAUGCUUGAAAGAUGCAAUUGCAUCGCUAGUAGAUGGACCUGCGUUGUAUUAGCUAGUAGGUAGGGUAAUGGCCUACCUAGGCAACGAUACAUAGCCGACCUGAGAGGGUGAUCGGCCACACUGGGACUGAGACACGGCCCAGACUCCUACGGGAGGCAGCAGUAGGGAAUCUUCGGCAAUGGGGGGAACCCUGACCGAGCAACGCCGCGUGAGUGAAGAAGGUUUUCGGAUCGUAAAGCUCUGUUGUUAAGGAAGAACGAGUGUGAGAAUGGAAAGUUCAUGCUGUGACGGUACUUAACCAGAAAGGGACGGCUAACUACGUGCCAGCAGCCGCGGUAAUACGUAGGUCCCGAGCGUUGUCCGGAUUUAUUGGGCGUAAAGCGAGCGCAGGCGGUUAGAAAAGUCUGAAGUGAAAGGCAGUGGCUCAACCAUUGUAGGCUUUGGAAACUGUUUAACUUGAGUGCAGAAGGGGAGAGUGGAAUUCCAUGUGUAGCGGUGAAAUGCGUAGAUAUAUGGAGGAACACCGGUGGCGAAAGCGGCUCUCUGGUCUGUAACUGACGCUGAGGCUCGAAAGCGUGGGGAGCGAACAGGAUUAGAUACCCUGGUAGUCCACGCCGUAAACGAUGAGUGCUAGGUGUUAGGUCCUUUCCGGGACUUAGUGCCGCAGCUAACGCAUUAAGCACUCCGCCUGGGGAGUACGACCGCAAGGUUGAAACUCAAAGGAAUUGACGGGGGCCCGCACAAGCGGUGGAGCAUGUGGUUUAAUUC